AACGAACGCUGGCGGCAGGCUUAACACAUGCAAGUCGAGCGCCCCGCAAGGGGAGCGGCAGACGGGUGAGUAACGCGUGGGAAUCUACCCAUCCCUACGGAAUAGCUCCGGGAAACUGGAAUUAAUACCGUAUACGCCCUACGGGGGAAAGAUUUAUCGGGGAUGGAUGAGCCCGCGUUGGAUUAGCUAGUUGGUGGGGUAAAGGCCUACCAAGGCGACGAUCCAUAGCUGGUCUGAGAGGAUGAUCAGCCCCAUUGGGACUGAGACACGGCCCAAACUCCUACGGGAGGCAGCAGUGGGGAAUAUUGGACAAUGGGGGCAACCCUGAUCCAGCCAUGCCGCGUGAGUGAUGAAGGCCUUAGGGUUGUAAAGCUCUCUCACCGGGGAAGAUAAUGACGGUACCCGGAGAAGAAGCCCCGGCUAACUUCGUGCCAGCCGCCGCGGUAA
rnacentral:rRNA from 1 species